UACGGAGGGUGCAAGCGUUAAUCGGAAUUACUGGGCGUAAAGCGUGCGCAGGCGGCGCGUUAAGACAGGUGUGAAAGCCCCCGAGCUUAACUUGGGAAUUGCGCUUGUGACUGGCGUGCUGGAGUGUGGCAGAGGGAGGUGGAAUUCCACGUGUAGCAGUGAAAUGCGUAGAGAUGUGGAGGAACACCGAUGGCGAAGGCAGCCUCCUGGGCCAGCACUGACGCUCAUGCACGAAAGCGUGGGGAGCAAACAGG
rnacentral:rRNA from 1 species